GCACCUAUGGAGCAGAAGUCUAGCUCAUUCCCCUCCCAUCGGCCAUAUGGUCUACAUGGUUAGGGAAGGACCCGGGUGCAAAUCCCGGUGGGUGCA